UGUCCGUGAUGAGCAGUAAAAGGUCUGAUUACAUUGCUGCCCCCCUGCAGCCAAGACGCUCCCAGCAGCCCCUUCUUAUACACCAGCUUCCAGUUGUGCUAUGUGUGUUUCCAGGAGUUGCUGACAUUAUUGGGUAACGUGAAUCUUGUGUCCAGAAGACAUAGGACUCAUGGCGGUUAACGUCACCCUACAUAUACCUCCCAUCUGGAGUGUGGUGUUCGGGGGCUGACUAUGUAUACAGUGUAUGAUCUUAAGUUUUCAAGCUGAGACA